rnacentral:rRNA from 1 species
UACGAAGGGGGGCUAGCGUUGCUCGGAAUCACUGGGCGUAAAGGGUGCGUAGGCGGGUCUUUAAGUCAGGGGUGAAAUCCUGGAGCUCAACUCCAGAACUGCCUUUGAUACUGAGGAUCUUGAGUUCGGGAGAGGUGAGUGGAACUGCGAGUGUAGAGGUGAAAUUCGUAGAUAUUCGCAAGAACACCAGUGGCGAAGGCGGCUCACUGGCCCGAUACUGACGCUGAGGCACGAAAGCG